UUGCCAGCCGCCGCGGUAAUACGGAGGGUGCAAGCGUUAUCCGGAUUCACUGGGUUUAAAGGGUGCGUAGGUGGGCAGGUAAGUCAGUGGUGAAAUCCUUGAGCUUAACUCGAGAACUGCCAUUGAUACUAUCUGUCUUGAAUGUUGUGGAGGUGAGCGGAAUAUGUCAUGUAGCGGUGAAAUGCUUAGAUAUGACAUAGAACAUCUAUUGCGAAGGCAGCUCACUACGCAAAUAUCGACACUGAGGCACGAAAGCGUGGGGAUCAAACAGGAUUAGAUACCCUGGUAGUCC
rnacentral:rRNA from 1 species